UACGGAGGGUGCAAGCGUUAAUCGGAAUUACUGGGCGUAAAGCGUGCGCAGGCGGUUUGUUAAGUCUGUUGUGAAAUCCCCGAGCUCAACUUGGGAAUUGCAAUGGAUACUGGCAGGCUGGAGUAUGGUAGAGGAAGGUGGAAUUCCCGGUGUAGCGGUGAAAUGCGUAGAGAUCGGGAGGAACACCAGUGGCGAAGGCGGCCUUCUGGACCAAUACUGACGCUCAUGCACGAAAGCGUGGGGAGCAAACAGG
rnacentral:rRNA from 1 species